rnacentral:lncRNA from 10 species
AAGAUCAUUUGGUUGGGAAGAGGAGGGAGAAAAAUAGAGAGGAGAGAAAGAGGGAGAGAGAGGAGAGAGAGCGAGAGAGAGAGAGAGAAAGAGAGAGCAAGAACAAGAGCCAACUCUCAGAUACAGCCAAGAGGAGCAACAGAUAUAAAAAGGAGCAGAAAGAACAGAGAAAUCAGAAUGCGAGUGGGACUUGUACUUCAUAAAACAGCCAGAGGAUCCUCCUAUAAAACUGCAUGGGAUUUUUGGCUUUGUCAUCUGGGAAAUUGAGAAUUUGCCUGUGAUGUGAGGAGUGACUGCUGACAUCAGUGGAGAUGGAUGAAUACGUUUUGUAUUACACCAAUAAUUAGAAGGGAUCUCAAAAAUCCCACCAUUUCACCAGUUUCAUACAUAAAUUUUUAAACUUUGGCUAGCAGUGAUGAGUACCAUUUGCUUAGCACUUGACUGCUUCAGAAUGCCUUUCACAACGAUAUCUGUGCUAUUUCUUUUAUAUUUUCAACUUUUAAAAACAUUUUAAUUGAGAUAUAAUUCACAUACCAUAAAAGUCACCAAUUUAAAGUGUACAGUUCCAUGGUUUUUAGUAUAUUUGUGGUGUAACCACAACUACAAUCUAAUUCCAGAACAUUUACAUCACCCCCAAAAGAAAAGCCCUUUCCAUUAACAGUCAUUCCCGAUGCCUGUCCAACCCUCAGCCCUUUCUAGGCAACCGCUAAUCUACUUUCUGUUUCUAUAUAUUUGCCUAUUGUGGACUUUUUAUAUAGAUGGAAUCAUACAGCUGUGGUCUUUUGGGUCUGUCUUUUGCUUAGGAUAAUGUUUUCAAAUUUCAUCCAUAUAGUAGCAUGCAUCAGUCCUUUAUCAUAUUACCCAAUAAUAGUGUGGAUAUAACACAUUUUAUCUAUCCUUUCAUCAGUUGAUAGACAUUUGAGUUGUUUCCACUUUUUUCUUUAAUUUUUAGUUGACACGUAAUAAUUGUACAUAUUUAUGGGAUGCAGAGUAGUAUUUCCAUAUGUGUAUACCAUGUAUAAUAAUUCAGGGGAAUUAGCACAUCCAUCACCUCAAACUUGGAUCAUUUCUUUGUGUUGUGAACAUUAAAAAUCCUCUCUUCUAGCUUUUUGAAAAUGUACAAUAAAUUCUGGUUAACCACAUCCCCCCUGUGAUGCUGCAGAACGCCUGAACUCAUUCCUCUUAUCCAACGGUAAUUCCGUAAUUGUUAAUCAGCAUCUCCCCAUCCUCCCUGCCCCGCCACCCUUCCCCGCCUCUAAUACCCACGAUUGUACUCUACUUUUUCUUAGCUCUCUCAUGCAUGAGAACAUGUGGUAUUUAUCAUUCUGUGCUUCUCUUAUUUUAUUUAACAUCAUGUCCUCUGUGUUGCUGCAAAUGACAGAAUUACAUUUUUUUUGUGGCUGAACAGUAUUCCAUUGUGUAUAUAUAUCACAUUUUCUAUUUAACUUUUAUUUUAGGUUUGAUGGUACAUGUGAAGGUUUGUAAUGUAAAUAAGCUUGUGUCAUGGGGGUUUGUUGUACAGAUUAUUUUAUCACCCAGCUACAAAGGCUAGUACCCAAUAGUUAUUUUUUCUGCCCCUCUCCUUCCUCCCAUCCUCCACCCUCAAGUAGGUCCCAGUGUCUGUUGUUUCCUUCUUUGUGUCCAUGAGUUCUCAUUAUUCAGCAACUACUUACAAGUGAGAACAUGCGGUAUUUGGUUUUCUGUUCCUGCAUUAGUUGAUAAGGAUAAUGGCUUCCAGCUCCAUCCAGGUUCCCACAAAAGACAUUAUCUCAUUUUUUUAUGAUUGCAUAAUAUUCCAUGGUGUAUAUGUACCACAGUCUUUAAAUCCAAUCUGUCAUUGAUGAGCAUUUAGGUUGAUUCCAUGUCUUCACUAUUGUGAAUAGAGCUGCAAUGAACAUACAAGUGCAUGCGUCUUUAUGGUUGAAUGACUUAUAUUCCUCUGGGUAUAUACCCAGUAAUGGGAUUGCUGGGUUGAAAGGUAGUUCUGUUUUCAGCUCUUUGAGGAAUUGCUACAUUGCUUUCCACGAUGACUGAACUAAUUUACACUCCCCCCAACAGUGUUCUUUUGGGUUCUUUUUUCUCCACAACCUGGCCAGCAUCUGUUAUUUUUGGACUAUUUAUUUACUUAUUCAUUUUUGAGACAGAGUUUUAUUCUUGUUUCUCAGGAUGGAGUGCAUUGGCGCAGUCUUGGCU